rnacentral:rRNA from 1 species
UAGGGAAUAUUGGACAAUGGGGGAAACCCUGAUCCAGCAACGCCGCGUGGAUGAUGAAGCUCUUUGGAGUGUAAAAAUCCUGUCAGUGGGGACGAAACGUCCGGGUAGGAAAUGCCCCGGGCCUGACUGUACCCGCAGAGGAAGUUCCGGCCAACUCCGUGCCAGCAGCCGCGGUAAUACGGGGGGAACGAGCGUUGUUCGGAUUUACUGGGCGUAAAGGGCACGCAGGCGGGGAAUCAAGUCAGAUGUGAAAACCCAUAGCUUAACUCUGGGCCUGCAUUUGAUACUGUUUCUCUUGAGUACGGGAGAGGAUGGCGGAAUUCUUGGUGUAGCGGUGAAAUGCGUAGAUAUCAAGAAGAACACCGGUGGCGAAGGCGGCCAUCUGGCCCGAUACUGACGCUCAUGUGCGAAGGCAAGGGGAGCAAACAGGAUUAGAAACCCGAGUAG